UACGUAGGGUCCGAGCGUUGUCCGGAAUUAUUGGGCGUAAAGGGCUCGUAGGCGGUUCGUCACGUCGGGAGUGAAAACUCGGAGCUUAACUCCGAGCCUGCUUCCGAUACGGGCAGACUAGAGGUAGGCAGGGGAGAGCGGAACUCCUGGUGUAGCGGUGGAAUGCGCAGAUAUCAGGAAGAACACCCGUGGCGAAGGCGGCUCUCUGGGACGGUGCUGACGCUGAGACGCGAAAGCGUGGGGAGCGAACAGG
rnacentral:rRNA from 1 species